rnacentral:rRNA from 1 species
AUUGAACGCUGGCGGCAUGCUUUACACAUGCAAGUCGAACGGUAACAGGUUAAGCUGACGAGUGGCGAACGGGUGAGUAAUGCAUCGGAACGUGCCCGGUCGUGGGGGAUAACGCAGCGAAAGCUGCGCUAAUACCGCAUACGAUCUGAGGAUGAAAGCGGGGGACCGUAAGGCCUCGCGCGAUCGGAGCGGCCGAUGUCAGAUUAGGUAGUUGGUGGGGUAAAGGCUCACCAAGCCAACGAUCUGUAGCUGGUCUGAGAGGACGACCAGCCACACUGGGACUGAGAAACGGCCCAGACUCCUACGGGAGGCAGCAGUGGGGAAUUUUGGACAAUGGGCGAAAGCCUGAUCCAGCAAUGCCGCGUGCAGGAAGAAGGCCUUCGGGUUGUAAACUGCUUUUGUACGGAGCGAAAAGGUCUCCUCUAAUACAGGGGGCUCAUGACGGUACCGUAAGAAUAAGCACCGGCUAACUACGUGCCAGCCGCCGCCGUAA